rnacentral:tRNA from 84 species
GGAGAGGUGGCAGAGUGGUCGAAUGUACCUGACUCGAAAUCAGGCGUACGUGUAAGCGUACCGUGGGUUCGAAUCCCACCCUCUCCGCCA